GAUGAAGAACGCAGCGAAAUGCGAUAAGUAAUGUGAAUUGCAGAAUUCAGUGAAUCAUCGAAUCUUUGAACGCACAUUGCGCCCGCCAGUAUUCUGGCGGGCAUGCCUGUUCGAGCGUCAUUUCAACCAUCAAGCCCCCGGGCUUGUGUUGGGGACCUGCGGCUGCCGCAGGCCCUGAAAAGCAGUGGCGGGCUCGCUGUCACACCGAGCGUAGUAGAUUUUAUCUCGCUCAGGGCGUGCUGCGGGUUCCGGCCGUUAAACCACCUUCAUAACCCAAGGUUGACCUCGGAUCAGGUAGGAAGACCCGCUGAACUUAAGCAUAUCAAUAAGCGGGGA
rnacentral:misc_RNA from 1 species